GCUCAGGACGAACGCUGGCGGCGCGCCUAACACAUGCAAGUCGAACGAGCGAGAGAGAGCUUGCUUUCUCGAGCGAGUGGCGAACGGGUGAGUAACGCGUGAGGAACCUGCCUCAAAGAGGGGGACAACAGUUGGAAACGACUGCUAAUACCGCAUAAGCCCACAGGUCGGCAUCGACCAGAGGGGAAAGGAGCAAUCCGCUUUGAGAUGGCCUCGCGUCCGAUUAGCUAGUUGGUGAGGUAAUGGCCCACCAAGGCGACGAUCGGUAGCCGGACUGAGAGGUUGAACGGCCACAUUGGGACUGAGACACGGCCCAGACUCCUACGGGAGGCAGCAGU
rnacentral:rRNA from 1 species